rnacentral:tRNA from 1 species
GGCCACGUAGCCAAGUGGUAAGGCAACGGUUUGCAAAACCGUCAUUCAUCGGUUCAAAUCCGAUCGUGGCCU